GACGAACGCUGGCGGCGUGCCUAAUACAUGCAAGUAGGAGCAAGUUGCGAACGGGUGAGUAACGCGUAGGUAACUACCUAUUAGAGGGGGAUAACUAUUGGAAACGAUAGCUAAUACCGCAUACUAGUAGAUGGACCUGCGUUGUAUUAGCUAGUAGGUAGGGUAAAGGCUCACCAAGGCGACGAUCGGUAGCUGGUCUGAGAGGACGACCAGCCACACUGGGACUGAGACACGGCCCAGACUCCUACGGGAGGCAGCAGUGGGGAAUUUUGGACAAUGGGGGCAACCCUGAUCCAGCCAUGCCGCGUGCAGGAUGAAGGUCUUCGGAUUGUAAACUGCUUUUGUCAGGGAAGCGGUACCUGAAGAAUAAGCACCGGCUAACUACGUGCCAGCAGCCGCGGUAAUUC
rnacentral:rRNA from 1 species